CCCGCCACCCCUUUCCCUGCCGAGACAGAGCCCGUAUCGUCGCUACUGACCUCCGCUGCCAUCAUUUUCGGAAAAUACGUAGAGGGGAAUAAGUCGAGAAGGGAACCUGCCCUUCCCCUCUAGUCUUGCAGCACCCCCUCACUGUUUGGUCCUGCCUGCUCCCUCGGCAGCCACCAGUCUACUUGUCGGGUAUGAAAAGGAGGUCCUUAGCCCUGGUGAUGGAGGCUGCUGCAGCUACAGGACUACCUGUGUCUUUAGUUAAGAACUGGAUUUGUAACUAUGGGUGUUCACUUAAUACCUCCUGCAACACCUGGCGCCGCAAAGCUGCUGGUUAUAAGUGCAGUGUCUGCCUAUAACUUGUUUUGCGCAGAGCUGCUGAAUGGGAAAGAAGUGCAUCAGUCAGGAGGCCAAUCCGAUGGGACGACGUCAUUUCUUUGGGGACCUUCCCAAAGCGCCUCAGAUACAACCACAGCCUCUCCAUCUGCUCCCCAUCUGCCAGGCCAGCACCUUCAACAACAGAAAUAUACUUUCAUUUUGCAUGCAAUGUCAUACAUUAAGAUGAGAUUGAUGUUCUUGCCUCUCAUCCGCUCCUUCAUCGCUCGCAGCAGGUAGACUGCAUUUGACAAACUACAGAAGAGAUAUAUCCUUUAUUUGCAAACUAAAUUAAUCAAACACUGGAAAGGAAAAUGAAAAAAAAACUCAUUACUGCAUCCCACCUUUCCCCUCUUUUCAUGUUCAAGAAGUGAACCGGGUGCUCAUGCUCGCAGGAAACGCCCAACACUCCUGUCUCGUCCAAUUUGGGUUUGCACCUGAUGGCGCUGUCUGCUUGAAAUCCAUGGCAACCCUAAAAAUAAAAUAAAAAUCAUCAAGUAUAGUACAGGUAUAACGCACUGGGCUGUUGCCUGAAGCAGAUCACACACAGUGGUGCCAGGUUCAGUGCCUAAAUGGAUGUUGCAUGAGACAACCGAUUAUAUUGCAUUCAACAUACACAAUACCAAAAUACUGUCUCCAAACAGAUGAAGUGGAGGGAUAACUGCACCAUUUAAAUAUGAAUUAGUGGCGACCUUUUAUAUCAUGAGUUCAAAUAAUUCUAGAUUUUGUCACAUUCUCUUCCAGUCGUGCAUAAAGUAACAAUGGAAGUUAUCCUUAAAAUGUAGUGCAUAUUACGUUCGGGCAGUACCCCUGUUGGUGAUAUGGGCUUACAAAUGAAUCGAUCCACAUCAGCUUGGUUUGCAAAGUACUUUUCCUUAUGUUUUGGUUGCUGAUAACUUGAUCCAGACUAUUUUUUUCCUAGGCAAACCUAAAAGCCCUUUCGCUGCUACCACCACUGUUCCAUUGUCCUUUAAAGAGAUGUCAAAUAUACUUGCUUUAUAGUUUUUGGACCCCAGGAAGAGUAGCUGCUGCUUUGUAACAGACCACGGGGAUCCCAGUAAACAAAUAAAAUGAAAGACUGGAGGUCUGUUAGUCUGUAUAAUUGUUUGACAAAAAUGGAACAGAGAUGUUUCUAAUAGAUCAUUUCUGUUUAUUAAAGAGGGAGACAUCACAAUUGA